rnacentral:tRNA from 1 species
GCCCCGGUAUUCCAACGGAAGAGAAAGCGGAUUCAAAACCCGCACAGUGUGGGUUCGAAUCCCACCCGGGGCACCA